rnacentral:lncRNA from 1 species
GUGUGCGUGCAUGUGUGUAUGGGUGUACGUAUGUGUGGGUAUGUGUGUAUGGGCCUGCCUGCAUACACGCAUGCCCGAGUGUAGCUAUAGACUUUGUAGAGCACAGGAGUUAAGAGGACUCUUACUUUUGCAAUUCAUAGAACUGGGUUUUUUCUUUUCAUUUCUUUUUCUUUCUUUGCUCUUUAAAAUCUGAGCCUAUGUCAUAGGCAAUAUUCUGGAAGAAAGUCUAAAACUGAGGCUCUUAGAACUUGAGUUCAAACCUUCUUCAUAUGUUGGUUUCAAGGUAAUUGGGAUUUAGGAUUGGAAAUCGAUGAACAUUUUCACUGGAUUCUUUUUGUUCUUACUGGAAUAACAAUAGAAAUGUGAUAGUCGAGGGGUUGGGGAUUUGGCUCAGUGGUAGAGCGCUUGUAAGGCCCUGAGUUCGGUCCCCAGCUCAAAAAAAAA